GACGAACCGUGCGAACGUUAUUCGGAAUCACUGGGCUUAAAGCGCGUGUAGGUGGGACGGCACGUCGGCCGCUGAAAGCCCCCGGCUCAACCGGGGAAGUGGCGCCGAUACGACCGGCCUGGAGGGACGUAGGGGGACCUGGAACUUCCGGUGGAGCGGUGAAAUGCGCAGAUAUCAGGAAGAACACCCGUGGCUAAGGCGGCUCUCUAGUACGGUACUGACGCUGAGACGCGAAAGCGUGGGGAGCGAACAGG
rnacentral:rRNA from 1 species